AACACACAAAUCACUUCAAAGACAAUAGAAAGAUCGAAAAUUAUAUCCAAGGUAUAGGAAUAUGGCAAAGUCACUAGUGAGCUACGCAACCUUCCUUGCUCUCCUCUUGUGCUUCCUACUCAUCUCAUCCAAUGAGAUUCAAGUAGCUGAGGGCAAAGUUUGCCGCUGGAGGAACCAAAUACUCUUCAAUAGCUUUUGCUUGUUCAGCGGGGAUUGUUUCAAAAAAUGCAAACAAGAGUAUUCCAAAGCAACCAAGGGUCAGUGCAUUAGAAAAGGCUUUAAUCGUUCUUGCUACUGCUGGCGCAACUGCAAAUAAACUUCACAGACUAUCAGAAAUUAAUGGUGUGUUAUCUUGUAUGUCAAAAUAAAGACACUUUUGUGUUAUCUUGUAGAGAUUCUGACGAAAUAAUAUUAUAUUAUACGAGUAUUUGUUUUAUGAUUUUA